rnacentral:rRNA from 1 species
AUGGAGCGGGAUCAUUCGGCUUUGAAGAAAAUGAGAUUGGACGACACAGAAGAUUCUGCGAUCAGUCAAGUGCCUGCCAUGGCGUCUAGUAUGAAUCAGGAACUGUUCUGGAGCCAGUGGCAGCUACUGGAUUCCAUUCUCCCCACAGGCGGUUUCGCACACUCCUACGGCCUGGAAGCAGCUAUGCAAUCGCGCAUAGUGAACAACCAAGAAGACCUGAGGCUGUUCCUCAUCCAGGUCGUGGACAACAUUGGAAGCCUGCUGCUUCCAUUUGUGUACUGCGCCAGUAGGUCUCCUGACGCCGCGGCAUGGGUCAAGCUAGAUCAGCUGCUGGACGCUACAUUGACGAACGAGGUCGGCAGGAAGGCAUCCACAUCCCAAGGCUCGGCUCUGUUGAGGGUGGCCGCGUCUGUCUUCACUGAGAUCCAGUCGCUGCAGGAUCUCCGACGGACAUUUCUCGGUUCCACGAGCGUGUCCUUUCACCAUGCCCCGAUAUUCGGGUUGAUAUGUGGGCUGGUUGGAUUUGAUAGCGAGACAACGCAACGCGCUUACAUGUUUGUGGCAAUGAGGGAUGUGAUCUCUGCCGCGACGAGGCUCAAUUUGAUCGGACCGCUAGCUGCUUCGGUUCUGCAGCACCAGGUUGCGCCAGAUGCCGAGAAGAUGCUGCAAAAGUGGAGGGACCGUGAUGUCUCUGAAGCAUCACAGACUGCGCCGCUGCUUGACGCAUUGCAAGGCUGCCAUGCUUACAUGUUCUCUAGGCUGUUUUGCUCCUAA